UACGUAGGGUGCGAGCGUUGUCCGGAAUUAUUGGGCGUAAAGAGCUCGUAGGCGGUUUGUUGCGUCUAUCGUGAAAACCUGCAGCUUAACUGUGGGCUUGCGGUGGAUACGGGCAGACUUGAGUUCGGUAGGGGAGAGUGGAAUUCCUGGUGUAGCGGUGAAAUGCGCAGAUAUCAGGAGGAACACCGGUGGCGAAGGCGGGUCUCUGGGCAGUAACUGACGCUGAGGAGCGAAAGCGUGGGGAGCGAACAGG
rnacentral:rRNA from 1 species